ensembl:misc_RNA Metazoa_SRP Metazoan signal recognition particle RNA
GCCAGGUGUGGUGGCGCACACCUGUAAUCCCAGCUACUGGGGAGGCUGAGGCAUGAGGCUUGCUUGAGUCUGGGAAGCAGAGGUUGCAGUGAGCCAAGAUCAGGCCACUGCACUCUAGCCUGGGUGACAGAGCAAGACUCUGUCUCCC